UACGUAGGUGACAAGCGUUGUUCGGAAUUACUGGGCGUAAAGGGCUCGUAGGCGGCCAACUAAGUCAGACGUGAAAUCCCUCGGCUUAACCGGGGAACUGCAUCUGAUACUGGAUGGCUUGAGUUCGGGAGAGGGAUGCGGAAUUCCAGGUGUAGCGGUGAAAUUCGUAGAUAUUCGGAAGAACACCAGUGGCGAAGGCGGCUCACUGGCCCGUUACCGACGCUCAGGCGCGACAGCGUGGGGAGCAAACAGG
rnacentral:rRNA from 1 species